CUACUUGCCUGGCAGGGGAACCAGCAGGAUCACAAAGGUGGUUUCCCAGGGCAAGGCUAUAUCCCAUUGCACCUCGGGAAUUCUGACCACCGUGAUUUCCCUAAAUUCGGGAAACUCCACCGCAUAAUUUGUGGUAGUGGGAACUAUAUUUGUGCUCUCCCCUG